AAAUGUUAAUGUCAGCGGUCAGCGAUAGAGGGCGCGCUGGAAUGUAUGUAUAACGGAAGUAGGGUGACGUUAUACGAUCCUUAUUUCCGGUUGCGGUUCCGGCGCAUUAGAUACAAGUGUUGUCCGUUUGGUCUUCCAGCGGGCGUUUAAGUAAAAACAAAUGGGCACGGUGGCUACAUCUGAUUGAUUGAAAUGGUGGGAUUUAGGAAACACUUGUUGUACUGCAGGGCAGUAGAGGAGACCUUCUGUUUUCUGUCGCCAAAUAUCCGAUAAGUGACACUUCAACAAUGUCGCCAACGUGUGGUACUCGGUCAACGGCGAACGACUUGGUACCUACAACGGACCUGUGUGGUGCAUUGACUGUGACUAUAUCCUUUUAUGUUAUUUAGCUCGAUAUGCUGCCGUGUCUUCACCAGGGAUGUCAUAAGUUGAUAUCACUAAUAAUUAGCGAUAUGAAGACCCUCCUUUCCUGGGGAGCGUCAGAAAAUACAACCAAAGUGAAGGUGAACUCAAACAAUAAACGCAAUAAACACGUGAAGACUGGUAUACUGCAACAAUGUUUUCCUAAUGUGACAUGGGAUUAUGACAUUGAAGGUGUUUAUCAUGCAACAGCACAGGGUUGUGAAACAAUUAAAAGCAUAAUAAUUGUAAUAUUAUGAUUAAUUGUCUGACACUUAUUGUACCAAGUAAAUGUGUAAUCAUGACACAGUUGACCCUAGUGUACGCUCCCUAACUGGCUCUUCUCAGGGGACACCAAAAGAUGUUUUGACAGGAUCAGCUGACAACAGCUGUUGACUGUGAGCCUGCAAGACCGGGAAACAGCUGGCACUGCUCCACACUAACUCUGCCAGCAGAACAUGCGGCUUCGACUUCAGCUGCAACAUCAUCAUGUUUUCCACAGACAAGCAGAUGGGCUGUCACUGUUUCAUGAACUUGUUUGACCAGAGGGAUCCAGAGAUCGUCCGGAGAAGUCCUGAAGAAAGCUAAGGAGCACAGCAGGCGCAUCAACAACAUUCAGACGUCACCAGGUUCAUCAGUGCCUCAAAGGAUAACACUGCCAAGAUUGCAGUCCAAUAAAACUAAGUGACUUGACUGUCUGAUGCUGCUAAAGGCUCUAUGUGUAGUAAAAGUGAACUCUGCCACCAUUUAUCCAAUCAGGUGGUUAUGGGAGGUGGACAGGAGGCUAUGAAAGUGACCACAACCUCCAUCAGGAUUGGCAGAUUUGAGGCCAGGUUCUUCCUUGCUAUGUAGGAGUUUGGCAGGAGUCAAAGGUCAUGUUGAUCCCAUCAACCGUGUGGCUUUCUAUCCUGACAGCAACAGGUAAAUGAGACCAACACAGCUUUUGAUUGUCAUUCCAUUCAUUGUGCCUCCUCUGCUAUUGUCGUUAACAGAUGCAAUGGAGAAGAACACAGACACAGCAGCUUGGACUCUGCCAGAGGAGGAGCUCCUGUAGGAGGAAGAGGCCCUUGGAGCAGGAGACCAGGUUUAUGAAGAUGACAGAUCAGAUCUGACUGAAGAAGAGGGAAACACAAAUUCUCCAGGAACAAACUAAGACAGAUGG